GCGUCGGUGGUGCAACGGUUCAGCAUUACUCCUGAAAAAAGUAAGAUGUGGGUUCGAAUCCCGGCUGACGCA